UUAUGGUAAAACCUAUAAUAAAUAUUAAUUUUAGUUCUUUAAGAAAUUUUUACUAACUUGAUUUUUUGGCUAAUUCAAAAAAAUAUUUCAUCAAAGACACCAAAAGAGUGCGUAGUUUUCUGAUAUAAUAUAGAUAUAUCAGCUUCCUCCUCAUGUCUAAAUGUGUAAUAGGUAUCAAAUUCAUGAGAGUAGUAAAUGAGCUGCAAUAUAAUAGACUAGAGAAUGAGCCAAGUAUACCUCAUUUGAAACUUCAAAUUUCAGAUUCUCAAAACUAAAGACGUUCGAUCUCUUGCUUUCCUUAUAGUUUUAGGGGGUUAUCGGAAAUGCCAAUUCUUGAAGAUUUGGAAGAAAAUAUAUACACCGUAUUCGAUCUUGUGCUUUGCAUGUGCCUCCUCAUGUCUUAUCUUCAUGAAGGACCGCUCGACCCACUCAUGGUAUCAAGUCGGUGCGAACUCAGUGAGCCAAAGAGAACGAGUCGGAUGAUGACUAGGGCAGUAAUGGUGGUGACCACGUGAGGCUUACGUAGCCUAGAUAUUGGCGUAAAGUGGCUUGGGUUGGGCUGUUUGGGUUUUGAGGCCCACGUUUUCGAUUUUUUCGUAGUGGCGUGUCCCGCGAAACCGAUUUUCUUUUGGGCCAAUUACAUAUAAGUCCACUUUGAGACAUUUUUUCCCACAUAGAUCCACCCUAACAUUUUUACCCACAUAAGUCCACCCAAGUCUAAAUAAGGUUUUGUAUUAAGUAUUGAAGUUCAACAUAAUUACAGACUGCCAUCCAACAAAAAAAAUUAGAUUUUCUUCCUUAUAUUUACAAGAAUGCUACUAGUAUAAAAAGUCAACAACCACUCUCAUUUCGGAACAGUCUCCGGCGGACCUCCAGCGAGAUUUCCAGCAGACCUCCGGCGAGGUUUCAGGCGGACCUCCGGCGAGGUUUUCGGCCGACGUCCGGCGAGAUUUCCGACUGACCUCCGGCGAGGUUUCCGUUCGACUUCCGACGAUGACAAAAAUUACUACUACCAGCUAUAAAAGCUACUACCACCAGCUACAAAAGCUACUACCACCGCCUACAAAAGAUACUACUGUGAGGUUUCCGAUGAACACAAAAGCUACUACCACUAGCCACAAAAACUACUACCACAAGCUACAAAAGCUACUACCACCGCCUACAAAAGCUACUACUGUGAGGUUUCCGACGAACACAAAAACUACUACCACCAGCUACAAAAGCUAUUACCACCGCCUACAAAAGCUACUACCACCGCCUACAAAAGCUACUACUGUGAGGUUUUCGACGAACACAAAAACUACUAGCACCAGCCACAAAAGCUACUACCACCAGCUACAAAAGCUACUAUCACCGCCUACAAAAGCUACUAUUGUGAGGUUUCCGACGAACACAAAAAAUACUACCAUCAGCCACAAAAGCUACUACCACCGCCUACAAAAGCUACUACCACCGCCUACAAAAGCUACUACCGCUACCAACAUAACGCUACCAACAAAAGCUACUACCGAGAUAAACAAAAGCUACUACCGAGAUAAACAAAAGCUACCACCAACAUAAACAAAAGCUACUACCCCUAUAUACAAAAGCUACCACCACAACAAAAGUUAUUACCGACAUAAACAAAAGCUAUUACCAACAUAAACAAAAGCUAUUACCAACAUAAACAAAAGCUACUACCCCUAUAUACAAAAACUACUACUGCCAGACAUAAAAGCUAUUGCCUCCAUCAAUAUAAGCUACUACCGUUACCAACAAAAAAUACUACUCUAACUAACAAAAGCUACUGCUGUCACUGACAAAAACUACUACAAGAUAUUUACUCAACCAUAAAAACAAACAAACAAUUAUUAGAAGAUUAAAGCUUAAGCAUAAAAGGAAAUCAAGAGAAUUGCAGAUCGGAUCCGGCGGCCGACGACGACAGAAAAGACGUCGCUCCGUCGACGGAGCUCCCAUCUUCGCUCGCUGCGGAUGAUGAGUCACGAAAUUCCUCAGCGUUUGACCGAUCAGAAAUACGAUCGAACGCGACUGAUUGGAGAUGAUGAAGGAUGCCUCGCUAGGUCUGCAUUUCUGAGAUCGAAGGACACCUCGUUAGGUCGGCAUAUCCGAGAUCCCAUAGGACUAAACGUAGCGACGACGUUGAGGCCUUCCUCGAGAUUGACGUCGUUCUCCUUGACCGGUGUGCCUCUCAACCAAACCUUCUUCGUCGAGGCCAUCGCUGCCUACCGGAUUAGAUCAUCCACAUCAUUGUUGAGAUCCAGAUCGUCGGCGUCAACUUUAUGGAUCACGCAGAUGCAAAGAUCGCCGUUGCGGUGUCCUUGAGCACGGCGGAGCCACCGUCUCGGUUGACCAUCGUAUGUUUGAGAGAGAGAAAGAGAGGUGUGCGGCGGCGACGUCGUCGGAAUCGGAGGUGGAAGAAUAAGGAGAGAGAAGUCGAGCGAAAGGCAGAAAGAGAAAGGAGAGGGAGAGAGAGAGGUGUGUGAGAGGGAUAAAUUUUUAGUACAGGGGUAAAAUAGUCAGGAUGUAAUAAUUUGAGAAAGAAAAGUGGACUUAUCUGGGUAAAAAAAUCAGAGUGAACUUGUGUGGGAGAAAAUACGGAGAAUGUGACUUAAAUGAAAUUUUCUAUUUUCUUUUCACGUGGGGCCAGCGCGUGACCAAGACCUACAAGUUGUUCAAAGACCUACAAGUUGAACACUUUUGGGGGAAGAAGAUGGAGGCAUAGUUGGGUGAUGCAUGGUCCUCUGUGCAUUUCAGAAAAGAUCGAUCCCACUCUUCUUUUUACAGAACCAUGCAUGUGCCCUCUUAUAUCACUUUCUUCUUGCAUUAUUGGGUGGUGCUUGCUUAGAUGCAUCAAUGCAUUAGAAACUUGAUCAACGUUGAUGAAUAUGUAUAUGUAUGUCACUAACUCUAAAGUAUGUUUUAAUUAAACCUGAUUUAGCUGACAUGAUCUCUCGAUGUGAAUUAGUCUGGGUCUAAAAAGAAGAUACUGACGUUGAUAAUCUAAAAAAAAAAUUAAACCUGGUUUAGUGCAUACUCUUUGUACUUUGCUCUAAAAUAGGAGCGCUAUUUUAUAUUUUUUUUCAGCUGUCUUCACUUAUCUUUUCUAAUAAAUAGCAAACGAAUGCGCACCAUUGUGAGAUCACGCUAGCCUAAUUUUCUUCUCGAGUUUAUCUAGCUUUUCUCUCAAUACCUCUCUAUCGCUGACAUUGAGCUAGCUAGCAGUUGAGACUCAGUCUCCUUGUAUUCUUUGUUAAAUACUUCACUAUCUACUCUCUAUUGCUACACCCAAAACAAAAGUUGAACUUACACCAUA
rnacentral:lncRNA from 1 species